rnacentral:tRNA from 1 species
AAUUUUUUAGUAUAAGCAGUACCUUUGGCUUCCAACCAAACCGUCUAAUUUGAUUAGAAAAAUUA